CCUCAGAUCAGGCAAGGCUACCCGCUGAAUUUAAGCAUAUUAAUAAGCGGAGGAAAAGAAACUAACAAGGAUUCCCUCAGUAACGGCGAGUGAAGCGGGAAGAGCUCAAAUUUGAAAUCUCCGGUGCUUGCAUCGGCGAGUUGUAGUUGCGAGAAGCACUUUCUAGGUGGAUCGGCGGUGCCUAAGUUGCUUGGAACAGCACGUCGCAGAGGGUGACAACCCCGUCUGUGGCGCCGCCGGCCGCUGA
rnacentral:rRNA from 1 species